UGCCCUAGUAACGGCGAGUGAAGCGGCAACAGCUCAAAUUUGAAAUCUGGCGCAAGCCCGAGUUGUAAUUUGUAGAGGAUGCUUCUGGGUAGCGACCGGUCUAAGUUCCUUGGAACAGGACGUCAUAGAGGGUGAGAAUCCCGUAUGUGACCGGCCCGCACCCUUUACGUAGCUCCUUCGACGAGUCGAGUUGUUUGGGAAUGCAGCUCUAAAUGGGAGGUAAAUUUCUUCUAAAGCUAAAUACCGGCCAGAGACCGAUAGCGCACAAGUAGAGUGAUCGAAAGAUGAAAAGUACUUUGGAAAGAGAGUUAAAAAGCACGUGAAAUUGUUGAAAGGGAAGCGCCUGCAAUCAGACUUCGCGGCAGUGUUCCGCCGGCCUUCUGGCCGGUUCAUUCUCUGUCGCGAGGCCAUCAUCGUCUCGGCCCGCUGGAUAAGACCUUGGGAAUGUAGCUCACCUUCGGGGGAGUGUUAUAGCUCAUGGUGAUGCAGCGAGGCUGGGGCGAGGUCCGCGCUUCGGCAAGGAUGAUGGCGUAAUGGUUGUCGGCGGCCCGUCUUGAAACACGGACCAAGGAGUCUAACAUCUAUGCGAGUGUUCGGGUGUCAAACCCCUACGCGUAAUGAAAGUGAACGGAGGUGGGAACCGCAAGGUGCACCAUCGACCGAUCCUGAUGUCCUCGGAUGGAUUUGAGUAAGANCAUAGCUGUUGGGACCCGAAAGANGGUGAACUAUGCCUGAAUAGGGUGAAGCCAGAGGAAACUCUGGUGGAGGCUCGCAGCGGUUCUGACGUGCAAAUCGAUCGUCAAAUUUGGGUAUAGGGGCG
rnacentral:rRNA from 1 species